rnacentral:rRNA from 1 species
UACGGAGGGUGCAAGCGUUAUCCGGAUUUAUUGGGUUUAAAGGGUCCGUAGGCGGAUCUGUAAGUCAGUGGUGAAAUCUCACAGCUUAACUGUGAAACUGCCAUUGAUACUGCAGGUCUUGAGUGUUAUUGAAGUAGCUGGAAUAAGUAGUGUAGCAGUGAAAUGCAUAGAUAUUACUUAGAACACCAAUUGCGAAGGCAGGUUACUAAGCAACAACUGACGCUGAUGGACGAAAGCGUGGGGAGCGAACAGG